rnacentral:rRNA from 1 species
UACGAACCGUCCAAACGUUAUUCGGAAUCACUGGGCUUACAGAGUUCGUAGGCGGCGGAGAAAGUAGGGUGUGAAAGCCCUCGCUUAACCGAGGAAUUGCGCCCUAAACUACUGUGCUUGAGGACCUAGAGGUGAGCAGAACAGAUGGUGGAGCGGUGAAAUGCGUUGAUAUCAUCUGGAAUACCGGAGGCGAAGGCGGCUCACUGGGGGGUUUUCUGACGCUGAGGAACGAAAGCCAGGGUAGCGAACGGG